rnacentral:rRNA from 1 species
AACGAACGCUGGCGGCAGGCCUAACACAUGCAAGUCGAGCGCCCAGCAAUGGGAGCGGCGGACGGGUGAGUAACACGUGGGAACAUGCCCUUCGGUACGGAAUAACCCAGGGAAACUUGGGCUAAUACCGUAUACGUCCUCAGGGAGAAAGAUUUAUCGCCGAAGGAUUGGCCAGCGUCCGAUUAGCUAGUUGGUGAGGUAACGGCUCACCAAGGCUGCGAUCGGUAGCUGGUUUGAGAGAACGAUCAGCCACACUGGGACUGAGACACGGCCCAGACUCCUACGGGAGGCAGCAGUGGGGAACCUUGGACAAUGGGGGAAACCCUGAUCCAGCCAUGCCGCGUGAGUGAUGAAGGCCUUCGGGUUGUAAAACUCUUUCGCGCGCGACGAUAAUGACGGUAGCGCGAGAAGAAGCUCCGGCUAACUUCGUGCCAGCCGCCGCCGUAACAC